rnacentral:rRNA from 1 species
UGGGGAAUAUUGGACAAUGGGGGCAACCCUGAUCCAGCAAUGCCGCGUGUGUGAAGAAGGCCUGCGGGUUGUAAAGCACUUUCAGUAGAGAAGAAAAGCCUAGGGCUAAUACCCCUGAGUCUUGACGUAACCUACAGAAGAAGCACCGGCUAACUCCGUGCCAGCAGCCGCGGUAAUACGGAGGGUGCAAGCGUUAAUCGGAAUUACUGGGCGUAAAGCGCGCGUAGGCGGCUUUGUAAGUCGGAUGUGAAAGCCCUGGGCUUAACCUGGGAAUUGCAUUCGAUACUGCUUAGCUAGAGUAUGGUAGAGGGAAGUGGAAUUUCCGGUGUAGCGGUGAAAUGCGUAGAUAUCGGAAGGAACACCAGUGGCGAAGGCGACUUCCUGGGCCAAUACUGACGCCGAGGUGCGAAAGCGUGGGAGCAAACAGGAUUAGAUACCCUGGUAGUCCACGCCGUAAACGAUGAGAACUAGAUGUCGGGAGAACUUAGUCUCUCGGUGUCGCAG